CGUAGGGUGCGAGCGUUAAUCGGAAUUACUGGGCGUAAAGCGUGCGCAGGCGGUUAUAUAAGACAGAUGUGAAAUCCCCGGGCUCAACCUGGGACCUGCAUUUGUGACUGUAUAGCUAGAGUACGGUAGAGGGGGAUGGAAUUCCGCGUGUAGCAGUGAAAUGCGUAGAUAUGCGGAGGAACACCGAUGGCGAAGGCAAUCCCCUGGACCUGUACUGACGCUCAUGCACGAAAGCGUGGGGAGCAAACAGGAUUAGAUACCCUGGUAGUCCACGCCCUAAACGAUGUCAACUGGUUGUUGGGUCUUCACUGACUCAGUAACGAAGCUAACGCGUGAAGUUGACCGCCUGGGGAGUACGGCCGCAAGGUUG
rnacentral:rRNA from 1 species